rnacentral:rRNA from 1 species
GCCAUAAUUCAAACUUUUUUUCUGAUAAGCUGGUUCUCACUUCUGUUACUCCAGCUUCUUCGGCACCUGUUUUACAGACACCUAAAGCUACAUCGUCAACGUUAUAUUUUGAUAGUUUGACGGUUAAUGCUGGUAAUGGUGGUUUUCUUCAUUGCAUUCAGAUGGAUACAUCUGUCAACGCCGCUAAUCAGGUUGUUUCUGUUGGUGCUGAUAUUGCUUUUGAUGCCGACCCUAAAUUUUUUGCCUGUUUGGUUCGCUUUGAGUCUUCUUCGGUUCCGACUACCCUCCCGACUGCCUAUGAUGUUUAUCCUUUGGAUGGUCGCCAUGAUGGUGGUUAUUAUACCGU